CCCGCCUCUUAUAAGGCCCGAUCCGGCCGGAAUAUCCCGAAAACAGCUCAUCGAAGAAAACACCACGCACCCACACCUUCUUCCCGCAUCCACCCACGACCCCUGCCCCCAACCGCACGCCGCCGGCGACCACGCGCACUGCCGCCCUUCCCCCGCGCGCCGUAGGACCCCUCCCCCCGAGCGCCGCCAUCUCCUUCCGCCGAGCGCUGCCGGCCCCUGCUCCCGUGCGCCGCCGGGCCUUCUCACGCGUGCCGCGCCGCCGGCGGCUACGCGGCGCUGUCGCACCAUCCCCAGCGCGCCGCAGGACCCUUUCCCCGAGCGCUGCCGUCUCCUUCCCCCGAGCGACGCCGGUCCCUGCUCCCGUGCGCCGCCGGGCCCUUCUCACGCGCGCCGCCGGCGACCACGCGCUCUGCCGCCCCUUCCCCCGCGUGGCCGUCGUCGGUGCUCCACCCGGCUUCGACAUUCUGCUCCGACGCCCCGCUCCCCCACUGCCAAUUCCUCCUUGAAUUCGUUCGUCCGCUGGAAGCUACCAUGUUACGUAGUUUCUUUGCAAAGCCGCUGUAGUUGCAGUUAUAACGAAAUAAGUUCAGGGACUUACUCCUUGGCAGAACAAGCACAUCGUCGUUGCAGUACAAGUAUAUUUCUUUGGCAAAAAAUGACACUUCUUGGUUCUCCAGCGCCACCCAGUGGUUGUGAUCUCCCGUUCGGCCCCUCUCUGGCAGUCAGCCGGCUGCUGAUGCAGAGCAGCUCGAGCUUGACAUGUUGCCGCUGCAGCCAGUCAAUGGAAAGAAGACACUGGUAUAUGCCUGAGAGGGAGUCGGAGGAUGGCCUCUAGCUAUUGGAGCGCGGAGUCAGCAUGCAACAUCGAUGUGGAGCAGAUCCAGUGAGCAAUUUGGUGUUUGUAUUGUUGUUUGGCAAGAAAAAAAAGACAGACAUUGACUAACUAUUGCUUCAAUUCGUCUAAAAUUUCAGUUUCUUCACAUUAUUCCGAAUUCUGAAUUAGUUGGCUUCAGGUUCUUGUUCCUCUGGUUUGCUUCAUGGCCUUGUUGUGUGGAGCCUAGAGCUGUAGCAAUCAAGUCCCAUAGAGCUGAUUCACUCACUUCCAGCAACCAUGUCCCAUAGAGAUACAUGUUAAUUAUCUCGAUGCUAAACACCUUGUAAUUAUCAUUCUAUGCACUUCUUUAUUGUGUUGUAACCAUAGUUAUGGAUGCAUGUUAAUUAUCUACUAUCAAGCAACUGUGAUAUAGUUUCUGCUAUGAGACAUAUAACAUAUUUCUGAUUAAUGUAUUCAUGUGAAGAAAUGUGGAAGUAGUAAGGUCCUCUGUUAAGUGUUUUGCUUCAGAUUACCUACGUAACUUGAGCAUUUUGAUGAGCCUUUUUGCAGUGUGUUUAGAUAGUCCCACUCCUGAUGAGUAGGAAGAAGGUACAUAAUCCUGGCCCUCUAUCGUGUUGCCAAAAUUACCAACAAGAUAGAAUUUCUUGAUUCAGACUUAGCUUAUGUGCCCCUGUACAGCAGUCUGAACUCUGAACCUGAAUUUAAAACAUAGCUGUUUCAUACUCCAAUGCAUGCAGCAAACAUAUAUGCAUUAGUUCUUUCUGUAUUAUAGAGUGUUGUAUCCUUCAAUUCUGAGAUCUAGCUGGCAACUAGCUACACAUGUACUGUUGAUUUCUCUGUUCUGAAUGGAGCAACUUCUGUGCAGAUACACUUGCUGAAUAGAUAUACAUGCCAGGCUUUACACAAUCAGGGCUGCAUUCCAGCGUCAGGUGACGUCAAUGAGAAGCAGAUGACAUCCGGCAAGGCAACGUCCAUGUGGAGCAGCUGGCGGCAUCCGGCGAUGUCCGUGUGGAGCAGCCAGCGUUCGGUGACGUCCGUGUGGAGCAGCCAGCGUUCGGUGACGUCCGUGUGGAGCAACCGACGUGUGGCGACGUCCGUGAGUAGCAGCCUGAGGGAAAGCCGACGUCCAACGCAUCAAUGAGAAGCAGGCGAACGUCCGGCGACGUCCAUGAGUAGCAGCCAGCGCCGGCGAUAUCCGUGAGGAAAAGCUGACGUCCUGCGACGUCAAUGAGAAGCAGACAAACAUCCUGGCAGUGCAGUUUGGUCGAUUACAAUUUAUUCGUGUUUGAAAAAAAUAACUAGAGUAGUGGCAAUGUACUGGAUUUGAGCUCAUAUAGAUAGAGAAACGGAUUUCUGUCGGCAAGAAACCCAGUAAUAGUUCAGUUUCUUUCAUGUCAUUUUGAACAUGAGAUAUUCGAGUGUGAACUGAACAAAAAGUUUGUGUAAAAAUGUAUAAGGAAGUCCAAAUGGAUAAUUGUCAGGGGCGUA